CUUCGUUGAUGAGACGAUGACGAGUCGGAACUGGUCUCUGUCUGGUUCUGUUCGUGACCGGUUCAGUUUCACGUUCUGUGGUUCUGCUCCAGUCCAUCAGACCAGCGAGGUCGUUUCAGUUGAAGACAUCGAGGCAUUUGUCUGAGAAGG
ensembl:snoRNA SNORD15 Small nucleolar RNA SNORD15